CCUACGGGAGGCUGCAGUGGGGAAUAUUGCACAAUGGGGGAAAUCCUGAUGCAGCGACGCCGCGUGAGUGAAGAAGUAUUUCGGUAUGUAAAGCUCUAUCAGCAGGGAAGAUAAUGACGGUACCUGACUAAGAAGCCCCGGCUAACUACGUGCCAGCAGCCGCGGUAAUACGUAGGGGGCAAGCGUUAUCCGGAUUCACUGGGUGUAAAGGGAGCGUAGACGGCAAGGCAAGCCUGGAGUGAAAGCCCGGGGCCCAACCCCGGGACUGCUCUGGGAACUGUCCGGCUGGAGUGCGGGAGGGGCAGGCGGAAUUCCUGGUGUAGCGGUGAAAUGCGUAGAUAUCAGGAGGAACACCGGCGGCGAAGGCGGCCUGCUGGACCACGACUGACGUUGAGGCUCGAAAGCGUGGGGAGCGAACAGGAUUAGAUACCCUUGUAGUC
rnacentral:rRNA from 1 species